GAAAAAGAAGAAAUAAAUUUGCUAUUAAUCACAAUUACCAUCAGUGAUUUAAAAAUAAUAAAAACCUUAGCUUUAUGAUGCACCUUUUUUAAAUGCAAGGAAUCUAAAUAUACCUUGGGAAGUUAAAGAGCUCAGUCAAAUGAAGAAAAAAUCAACAGGUUGCAAAUGUUAACUUUUUUUUCUGCAACUAAAGAGUAGUUGAAAGAAUCUUUUCAACAGCUCCAGGUGAAGUUAUAGCUGAAAGAAAGCUAAAACUAGUAAAUUUGCAUGCAAGUGAAUUUAAUGACAGCAGUUCCUCAGCAGAGAAAGAUUAAACUGACAACUUUAAGAUGCCACAUCAGAAAUGUCUCCACUCAAAAUAGUUUUGUGACUGACUGGUUCUCACAUCUUUACUAAUAAACACAAGAUCUCAUCACCAGUGCUGGCAGGAUUUCACAAUGAUUAGGGGUGGAGUGCCUCAUUUGUGAGCCAGAUGUGUCUCAACUGAAAUCGGAAGAUUCUCACUUGAUAAACUCUAAAUAGGAUGAUGAAAGUUACAUGAGAAACAGCCUGGUGGAAGAAUAAGCAUGAAAGAGCUAGUUACACAUUUUUGGAGCUCAAAUUUGGGGUGGUUGUUAUUUUACAAAGGUCAGAAUUUUCUUUUAUUUACCUGGUGUCUAACUUAGUUCUGAAAUUGUAGUUCAGUUUUAGCCAUAAGUGACAAACAAAAAGUCAAGUUUUGGAAUAAAGAUUUUAUUUGUUGGUGAUAUGAAUGCCAAAUAAUACUUUAAUGGGAUGUUUUGGUUAAUGACAAAGAUUGAGGGAUAAACUGUUCUCACACUUUUUUUUUGUUUUUGGUGUGUAUAUGAGUAAACAACAUGUGAAGGUGAUAUGAGACAUAGCAAUAUUGAAAAAUUGUAAUGUAUGUAUUAGUCAGGCACAGUAAUGUUGGCUGCCAUAACAUAAUCCUCUAAAGUUCAAUAGCUUAACACAAUAAAAAUUUAUUUCUUGCUAUGCCACACAAUAUUUUGAAUACUUUAUUACACAAAAGGCAGUCUUUCCUUAAUUAAGAGGCCCAGAGUCCUUUUAUUUAGUAGCUAUACAUAUCCUAAAACCUUCAUCCAGCAGACAAGAGUAGAGAGAAGAGUAUAUGGAGGCUUGCUCAGGAAGCUUUAAGGCCUGACCACAUCUCAUUGGCCACAACUUAGUUACAAGAAUGACUGGGAAAUAUAGAAUUUCUGUAUGCUUAGGAGGAAAAUAAGAUGGGCAUAUUGAAUGCAUGGUUCUUUUUUCCACAUUGAAUUACCUCUGCAAAAACACCAUUCGUUUUCACCAGUAUGUGAACAAAAGCAUGUAACGUCACAGAUGGACUAGAGCAGGGACCAACAAAUGUUUUCUGUAAAGGGCAGGAUAGUAAACGUUUUCAGCUUUGUGGGACAAGAAGAGAAAUUAAGAACAUCAUGUAUGUACUUUUAUAACCAUUUAAAAUAUAAGUGUUUUAAAUGUAAAAACCACUCUUAGCUCAGGGACCAUAUAAGAAGACACAGUGCCGGAUAAGGCCUGGGGGGCCAUAGUUGGCUGACCCUUGGACAAGAGAAACUCUAAAGGUAAAAAUUUGGCAAUGCAGGAUUUUAUGUUUCUCAGAUUCUUUCCUAAGCUGGUUUUGACUUUGGUUGAGAUUUUUCAAAUGACCAUUUGUGAGUAUAUAGAGUUAAUUGAGCUUAUGCAGAAUAAAACAAUACUUACAUUCUUAGGAUAUAGCAUUUAAAAUAAAAAUAUACAUUAUAAACUGAAUAAUAAAUAGAAAAUAGGUUAUAUUUCAAAAUAUAGUAAACCUAUGUCAUUAUAAAAGGGUUCAUUUCUGCAACAUAAUGCACAGUUAUAUCAGGCUAAUAUUUUCUAGGCACUUUAUUUGUAACAAUGUUAUUUAAUGAGAUUCAUCUUGUACUUUGGUUAUCUCAAUUAAACACUCAGAUGUUGCCUUUCUCCUUGCUCUUCCUUCUGUCUUUGUUUUAGAAUAUUUACUUUUCCAGGUUAUUGUACAACUGGGCAAUAAUAUUAAGCAGGGACUGGAAUCAUGGAAUAGUCCAGGCAGAGCCACAUAGGAAGAUGUCUGUUUGGCCUGACCAUACCAAUUCUGACUCAUGGUAUGGUGAGGGAUAAGACUUUAGAUACCAUUUAGAUUAAGUAUAUAUAAUAAAUAAAAGGGAGCAUUUCAAAAAUGUGAUUUAUAAUAUAAGAUUUCAUUAAUGAAUAGAAGAUUCCUGUUGUGGCUUUUGGGUUUUUUAUUAAUAAUUUUUUUAUUAUAAAAGUAGUAUGUUUUCACUGUUGAAAAUAUGGAAAAUAAUAAAAAAGAAAAUUGAAAUCAUGCAUGCAUUUAUCACCUAAAGGUGAUUGCUCUUAGCCUUCUGGUAUAGUUCUUUCUUAUUUAUAUACAUACAUACACACAACACACACACACACACACACACACACACACAAAUAUGCAUAGCCCACCUAUUUAGAAGUUUUUACAUAGUUUGGGGACAUAAUUAGAACCAUAUUGUAUAUGGUGAUUAAAAACCUUCUAAAAGAAAACUUUUAAUGGCUGCAGCAUAUGAUCUUGUAUGAAUAUACCGUAAUUUACUUAGCCUGACCUCUAUUUUUGGACAUUUAUGGUGUACUAAAUUUCUUUAAUUAAAAUAGCAUUAAGAGAGGUAUACCCAACAAAAUGAAUGCUUAUAUCAACAAAAAGACACGUGCGAGAAUAUUCAUACCAGCUUUAUUCCGAAUAGCCCACAGCUGGAAACAAUCCAAAUGUGUAUAAAUUCUAGAAUGGAUAAACAAAUUUUGAUAUGUCCAUACAAUGGAAUACUAAUCAUCAAAGGAAAAGAACUAAUGGCUGGCUGCUGCAUGUAACAAUAUGGAUAAUUCUCACAGAUAUAAUGUUUAAUAUGAAAAUAGAUACAAAAGAAUACAUUCUGUACCAUUCUAUUUAUAUGAAGAAGCAUAACUAAUCUAAAGUGAUGAGAGAUCAGAACAGUGCCUUGGGAGGGGUGUAGGCCCAAGGAAACCUUCAGAGUACUAGAAGUGUUCUAUAUUUUGAUCUGGGUAUUGGUACAUAUAUGUGUGAAAACCAAGUAAGCCAUACACUUCAUGCAAGACUUGUGCACUUUCCAUAAGUUGUACCUCAAUAAAAAAUAUAAGGAUAAAAAUGCCCUGUGAUACAUCUCUGAAGAUAGGUUUUUACUACAAUUCUUAUAAAUUCCUUAAUAUAAUCUCAUACGUUCUAAGAAAUGCUGUUUUGAACUACAUAGCAUGCUUUUUUCUGAAAGUCUGUGAUCUCUUUUUCUGUUAUUUCAUAAGAUAAAGGGUAGAAGUUUUCAGAUCAUGCUAGUAGUGUUUAGACUUGUCAAAAGAUAGAUCAAUUGGGGAAUCAGGACUAGAACAGUUAUACUUUUCUUUGGAUUUUGUAUAAGUUCCAAUUUAAUCCAGCAUUGAAUAUGUGAAACUGGAAUUCAAAAGUCAAUGUAAUUAAAGAUGUUCCAUGAGGGAUUCAUAAUAGGAUUGUUUAAUCUCAUAAAAUUUUCUAGUACAAUUCAAUUAUGGUGCAAUUAAUGAACAAUUGCUUUAUGUUUGCAAGAAUGUUGCUGUAAUAGUUUAUGGAGUAAGAUAAAUAUGCACCCCAUAGUACAUUAACUUUAUAUGUAAAUACACUAUAUAUUGGUCAGGUUUUUGCUAUGAUAAUGCUUUAACGAAAACACUAAAAUUUCUGUGGAUUACAAUAACAAACAUUUUCAUUCACACUCACAAAUCUGCAGAUCAGCUGUGGUUUGACUAAUCUUGGCCGGUCCAGGAUGGUCUACGGGUUUCAGAUCAGUUUCAAGUCUUUUCCCCAUGUCUGCAUUACAGGACCAAAGCUAAAGGAGCAACUACGUGGACUUCAUGCUGGAGAGUGGAAGCUCCAAGGGGCCUGACCAGCCAACAGGCACAUUUAAAACUUCAGCUCACGUCACAUCCACUUAUAGUCCAUUGGCCAAAGCACCAUAGUCAAGCCCAACAUCAGUGCAUUGGACAUGGGGAAGACUGGGGGCUGGAUGCAAUGAAUAUGGUUUAGGACUCCAGGGCCUUUGAGAAUGGCAGCCAGUAGAAGAAAAGAACCUUGAUUUUUAAACCACCUAGUAGAUGAGAGGUUUCCUCUCUCCCUCCCCCCACCACACCAUCAAUGCUUACUGUAUUAAAUUACUGAGAAUUCAGGAGGUAUUUGUUUUAGUAUUUACCUGUCAAUAAAAAUGUACAAUCCUUAAACUUAGAGCACAUCCACACAUCUCUUACCUAAGCUUAUCUCUAUACCACUUGUGAUCUAUGUGCCACACUUUGGAAAUACAGCUAUGUCCAAAUCCCCAUUUUAUAGUCAAAGAAACUGAGGCCCAGAAAAGGUACCACCAAGUGUUCACAGUGAGUCAGAGCAGGAGCUGGGGCUAGAAUCCAAGAUGCCAAAGUCCCAGACAGGUCAUGCUCCAGGAAUGCCGUCCGUGUAUUUAGUCUCCUCAGAAUUACGUAAUAGUUUGUAACCGACACUGCCAAUGUCCCAUAUUGCCCUGGGACCACUGAUGGAUGGCAAGGACUUCCCCCACUUUGAUCACCUGUGACUAUGCUUGAGGCCACAGGAGUGUAUCCUACCUGCACACAGGGAUGGAUGCCCUGGGAACUGUGCUCCACCAAUGCACACACAGGAGUUGGUGGGUAAAUACCCUGAUUUCCUCCCUUCAGUGCCUGUUCUACAGUCUCCCAGCUGGUCUUUAGGGUAACUGAGGCCCCAUUGCCCACAGUGAUAACCCGCUCAUUGCCACCUCCUCUCUUGUUUCCUUGUCUCUCACUCUCACUGCCCCCUCCCCUACGUGACAGGCAGAGAGCUUGAGAGAAGGCCUCUCGGAGGAGGUGACCUUUGAACAGAGGCUUGAAAUUGAGGAGGGACAUAACAGAAGAGAGUUUCAUGCAAAAGAUUUACCGCUUAAAACAGUUCUGGAGAUGGGAAAGGACUUGGCAUGCCCAAGGCAUAGAAAUGAGGCCUGUAUGGCUGCAGCAAGGGGAUGAAUGGUGGAGAGACUCUUAAAGAGCUGGGCAUGGGUCAGAUCCACAAAAGAGGUUUGAUUUUAGCCCAAGAAAGGUGGAAAGCCGGAAAAAGUUAUUAAGCAGAGGAGCCAUUUAAUCUGAUUUGUGUUUCUGGAGUUUCAUAACAGACCUUUUCAAAAAAUGCAGGAACCAAGUCCUUGGCUUUUUUGGGGAGGAGGCAGGACAGGUACCCAACAAGGUCCACUUGUGAGCUCCCUGUGAGGGGCAGCGAGGCCUGGUGGUGUCCAGUUGUCCACGCACAGAGACCAGCCACCCCCCCAUUUUCACCAUGGUCUGUCUGUUCUUCCAGUUAGAGCUGGUGGAGGUAGCCCUGGAUAGGUGAAGGUACCCCCACUUCUUUCUAAACUGACACCUUGGGCCCUAUUCUGUCUCAAAGCCCUUAAACUGCCAGCUACCUCAUAUCAAAUCCAAAGUGGAGUUAAUUCAACUGGGAAGAAAAUAUGAGCCACGAUUAAAAAGGCAAUUCCCCCACACUUUGCCCCACACAAAAUAAAUAUCUUUUUGCACCACACCCUGUUAAAAUUAUUAAAGGAGGCUCUAGCAAUAUUUCCAUGCCCAGGGGAAGAAUUCUGUUACAAAGGUAGACAAAAUGGGCUCUUGAAACUCCAACAAGGGAUCCUGGAAAUGGCGGGGGAAACUGUGAACUGUGGAUGUAGAAUAAUUGACAAUAAGUGGUCCAGACAAGCCCAACAGCUCAGCCUUCUGAGGGGAGUCUCUGUCACCCCAUUCCCUUCAAAGGUGGGGGAUUCUGUUGUGAAAGCAAUUAGGUUGUUUGAGACUUGGAACUAAGACGUCUCAAAAUUAAAAUAAAACUAUGGAAAUCCAAAACCAAUCAGUACUCAAAAGACUGAUUAAGUCUGUCUUUGAACGUAUAGAUGCUUGAGCAAUAUUAUUUGAGUUAUUAUAUUCAUGAGGAUUCUGAGAAGUCUUAUGGUGUUAUUAAAGUUUUAUGUGAAACGA